ACUUGAUUAGCUUAUUUUCCAAAGCUUAGGCCUCUUAACCCUAAGAAGACGGAGAGUCCCCGUCAUCAAGUC
rnacentral:tRNA from 1 species